rnacentral:rRNA from 1 species
AUUGUAGCUUGCUACAGAUGACGACCGGCGCACGGGUGAGUAACGCGUAUGCAACCUGCCUUUGACAGGGGGAUAGCCCGGAGAAAUCCGGAUUAAUAUCCCAUGGUAUUUACGAAUCGCAUGGUUUGUAAAUUAAAGAUUUUAUCGGUCAAAGAUGGGCAUGCGUGACAUUAGCUAGUUGGUAAGGUAACGGCUUACCAAGGCUGCGAUGUCUAGGGGUUCUGAGAGGAUGAUCCCCCACACUGGUACUGAGACACGGACCAGACUCCUACGGGAGGCAGCAGUGAGGAAUAUUGGUCAAUGGGCGCAAGCCUGAACCAGCCAUCCCGCGUGAAGGAAGACUGCCCUAUGGGUUGUAAACUUCUUUUCUGCACCAAGAAUGGUUACUACGUGUAGUGAUUUGACGGUAGUGCAGGAAUAAGCAUCGGCUAACUCCGUGCCAGCAGCCGCGGUAAUACGGAGGAUGCAAGCGUUAUCCGGAUUCAUUGGGUUUAAAGGGUACGUAGGUGGCCAAUUAAGUCAGUGGUGAAAUCCUGCCGCUUAACGGUAGAACUGCCAUUGAAACUGGUUGGCUUGAGUACAGUUGAGGUAGGCGGAAUGUGUAGUGUAGCGGUGAAAUGCUUAGAUAUUACACAGAACCCCGAUUGCGAAGGCAGCUUACUAAACUGUAACUGACACUGAGGUACGAAAGCGUGGGGAGCGAACAGGAUUAGAUACCCUGGUAGUCCACGCUGUAAACGAUGCUCACUCGCUGUAUGCGAUACAUUGUAUGCGGCCAAGCGAAAGUCUUAAGUGAGCCACCUGGGGAGUACGUUGGCAACAGUGAAACUCAAAGGAAUUGACGGGGGCCCGCACAAGCGGAGGAACAUGUGGUUU